rnacentral:rRNA from 1 species
UACGGAGGGUGCAAGCGUUAUCCGGAUUCACUGGGUUUAAAGGGUGCGUAGGCGGAUAUGUAAGUCCGUGGUGAAAUCUCUGGGCUUAACCCGGAAACUGCCUGGAUACUAUGUGUCUUGAAUGUUGUUGAGGUGAGCGGAAUAUGUCAUGUAGCGGUGAAAUGCUUAGAUAUGACAUAGAACACCAAUUGCGAAGGCAGCUCACUAAGCAAAUAUUGACGCUGAGGCACGAAAGCGUGGGGAUCAAACAGG